CAGAAAUUCUCGCACUGACACGACGUUUCAUCAUAGCUCAAUGCCGAAUUCCUCACCGAGUCCACCAAUCUGGAAACGGAGAGGUCAGCUUCAGUAAUUGAUGUUCUGCCGUCUUCCUCAACCUGGUAUGCCCUGCAGAAUAAGUGCCGGAUGACAGCUCCUCUCAGCCCCGGCCAAGUUAGCCAACAGCCGGGGAUGACGAUGAUUAGCACAUCCUGUUAUUUAUUCAUUUACACCAUGGGUAGGCAAACUAAGGCCCGGGGGCCGGAUCUGGCCCAAUCGCCUUCUCAAUCCGGCCCGCGGACGGUCUGGGAAUCAGCAUGUUUUCACAUGAGUAGAAUGUGUGCUUUUAUUUAAAAUGCAUCUCUGGGUUAUUUGUGGGGCAUAGGAAUUCGUUCAUUCUCCCCCCAUAUAGUCCGGCCCCCCACAAGGUCUGAGGGACAGUGGAACGGCCCCCUGCUGAAAAAGUUCGCUGACCCCUGAUUUACACCUUGCCUGUCUCCCAACUUACAGGAGUUGGAAUCCAAAACGUCGGGGAAGCACCGAGUUAAAGAGGGCUGAUGUUGCCGCACAGGUACAAAGGAAGCUGCGUUUUACUGGAUCAGACCCCUGGCCCUUCCGGCUCAGUGCUGCCUACACGGGCUGGCAGCAUCUCUCCGGGGCAUGUAAAGCAGAGAUGCCUACCCACUGUGUUCGACUGCCUUUCUCCUACAAAUGAAG